rnacentral:tRNA from 1 species
GGAGAGGUGGCCGAGCCUGGUUUAAGGCGCCGGUCUCGAAAAUCGGUUCCUGCCUUUGGUGGGACGGGAGUUCAAAUCUCCCCCUCUCCG